AACGAACGCUGGCGGCAUGCCUAACACAUGCAAGUCGAACGAGACCUUCGGGUCUAGUGGCGCACGGGUGCGUAACGCGUGGGAAUCUGCCCUUCGGUUGGGAAUAACUGAGAGAAAUUUCAGCUAAUACCUUAUAAUGUCUUCGGACCAAAGAUUUAUCGCCGAGGGAUGAGCCCGCGUAGGAUUAGGUAGUUGGUGGGGUAAUGGCCUACCAAGCCGACGAUCCUUAGCUGGUCUGAGAGGAUGAUCAGCCACACUGGGACUGAGACACGGCCCAGACUCCUACGGGAGGCAGCAGUGGGGAAUAUUGGACAAUGGGCGAAAGCCUGAUCCAGCAAUGCCGUGUGAGUGAUGAAGGCCUUAGGGUUGUAAAGCUCUUUUACCCGGGAUGAUAAUGACAGUACCGGGAGAAUAAGCUCCGGCUAACUCCGUG
rnacentral:rRNA from 1 species